ACGCUGUCCAAAUAUAAUCUGUAUGAACUUACGAAUAUAUAUGUAUAAAAGCGGCAAGCGCUCGACUGUGACAACUGACAACAAGCAUCGGAAAAAUGUCUCCGGUUAACCCGAGGGAUUUUAUGGAAGAGCUGGUGAAGUUCACUCUGGAAUCUUAUAUAAACGAAACCUCAGAAAUCGAUUUAGGUCUCUCGAAGGCCUUCUGCUCCAACCUCCUCGAAGACGAUCCCACCGACCCCUGCUUAGCCACGACCGAUUCUUUUGAAGGAGUCCCUCCAUACCCCUUAUACAAGCGUCUGGCAUCAUCUUUAUUAGACUCAAUAGAUUCCAAAGCCUUCUGUAGGUCACACUGCAAUUUGACAUUGAUCCCUGAGGGAAGCUCCUUGAAGCAGAAAGAAAAUGAAUGGCAGAAGCUGGUUUUGGAUAAGGGAGCCAAGAUAGUGAAUAUUAUGAAGACUGCUGUCCAUGAACUUCAUGUUCAGGAGCCUUUCUUUUCGCAGCUAAAAGAUGGCCAGAAAACAAUCGAAGGAAGAUGUGCUGUUGGUGACUACAAUAGAAUUGGUUCAGGAUCUAUGAUUCUUUUCAACAGAUGUGUGGUGUUUGAAGUUCAGGAUGUCCGCCGGUAUGCUUCAUUCUCAGAUAUGUUGACAGCUGAGAGUCUUGCAAAAGUUCUUCCUGGAGUUGAAACCAUUGAAGAAGGUGUACAAAUCUACAGGAAGUUUUACACAGAAGAAAAGGAAAGGUCAAAUGGCGUCCUUGCAAUCUUUGUUUCGAAAGUGGAUCUUCAGCCCUACAUUUGUUUGGCAGCCCUACUCUCUGGAUUGAGUUAUGGGGGCGUUCAAGGCCUUCUUGGUCUGACACAUACCACAGGGACAAUUCCAGAUGCACUUCCCCCACCAAGAUCAAUUCUUUUAUCAUCAUUUAUGUUGCCAUGUAAGCCAAAUAUUAAAGGUUGUACCUUGACUCAUGGAGCUAGGGCGUUGGCAAAGCAUGCUAAUAGGAGUAGCAGUAAAUAUUGGGGUACUUUGAAAGGAAGUGAUUCUGAUAAAAAUAAGCUUUCAAUGGAUGUCGUCUGUCACUUAAUAGCACAUUGUGACUGGUUGAAUGUGCAUGUUGUCCCACCAUAUGGUGUUGUCUUUGAAAUAAGGGUUGCUGAUGGAUAUGGUGCUCGCUGGUCUAAAGAUGGAAGCAAGGUACCAAUGUAAUGUUAUUGGCAUACACUACUUUGGGUUUUAAUUGUUUGUUUUGGGCCUAUAAAAGAGUUGUCGCAUGUGCAGUUUAUUGGAUUUCUGGAGCCAUACAUGGAAGACGGUCACUCAAAGGGAUGGAAGCACUAAUUUUGUUUGGGAAGUGUUUUCUUUAGCUUCCUUGAUUUGGAUAGGUAUGUCAAACAAUUGUAUUCCUCACUCUGUCUUUCUCAUGACAGAUCUUGUUAUGGUUGUACACAAAUAUGACCUCUAUCUUUUUCACACUGAACUUCUGCUCCUGUCGGUUUCCAUUGUUAUGGACAGGAAGAAAUUGACUGGGUUUGAUAGUCAAUAUUGGAUCUCAAGUCUGAGAUGUAUUUGCAAUACAUUGUACGAAUCCUUGAUGCAGUAUCUCUUGUACCAA